CUAUUCUCACCAACAGUGAACUUCACUGUGCUACACCACAUACACCCAGCUAUAAAUACACCCAGCUACCCUCUCCCUCUCCACACACACUCAACACCCUCAGCCAAGGCAAACGCCCACCCACUCAAUUACUCCGCUCUACCGGCUACACGCAUAGUGUCGCUUCGCCUCCAGUCCACCCUCCUGGUAAGCACCUCCGCUCCACCACUAGUAGUAUCUCAACACCACAAGACACAGAUUCUACUCAAGACUCUACCCAUCCAUAUAUCUCUAUUCUGACCACUAUACUAAAUAUUUGUUGGUAUACUUGCUUGUUUGUAUGUUUGCUUGUUCAUGUUGCAUAGUUAUCGGAGCGUUCGUACUGUCUCAUGGAGGCCAGAUCUACAAGUCUACGCCAGGAGCUAGAAGCCAGUUCCGCGAGCUCUUCUUCCCCCUUCGCCGGAUAAGCACGGCAAGCUCACUGGAUCCCUUUGAUGCAUAAAUUACCUAUGAUUUUUCAACCACAACCCUCAGCCUGUUAUUUUAUGCAUGAUAUGAUUUUGAGACAAGUUAUUAUGGCCACCCAAGCCGCUUGCCGCAAUCAAUCCUUAAUAUAUUUGUUACAAAUGAUUUGAGAAAAG
rnacentral:lncRNA from 1 species